UGCAAUCUAUGAUGAGAAAGUGUUUAAUCAUUUCUGAUUUUCCCGUGAUUAUCAUAUACAUUUAUCACCAUCUUUCGGCUGAGAUUGCA